UACGUAGGGCGCAAGCGUUAUCCGGAAUUAUUGGGCGUAAAGAGCUCGUAGGCGGUUUGUCGCGUCUGCCGUGAAAGUCCGGGGCUCAACUCCGGAUCUGCGGUGGGUACGGGCAGACUAGAGUGAUGUAGGGGAGACUGGAAUUCCUGGUGUAGCGGUGAAAUGCGCAGAUAGUCAGGAGGAACACCGAUGGCGAAGGCAGGUCUCUGGGCAUUAACUGACGCUGAGGAGCGAAAGCAUGGGGAGCGAACAGG
rnacentral:rRNA from 1 species